AAAACAACAGAGAGAGAAAAAAACAGAAAGCUUCGUGGGUUUUUUCGGUCGCCGCUGUCCUUCCGAUGGUGGCACCGAUAGUGUAGUAUAACUUGUUUUUUUGCUUCCUUCUCUUUUAUCUUUCAUGUGUUUCCUUCUACUCGAGCAAGGUUGUUGCUGUCUCCGGUGGUUGGUAUUCAAGAAAUCAACGGCGUGCCGUUUUGGUGAGUCAACAAUUCUGGAAUUUGCUCACCGACGAGGAGAUGCGGGUUUGAGAAGUCUUUAGUUUGUUUUUGCUCUGUAAUUUUAUGAGAUUAUGUCUUUUCUGUUUAUUCCUCUCUGCUGGCCUUUCCCUAGGACUUAAUCGAAUCGCAUCCGUCACCAUUCCUUCCCUCUGAAGGCUUUGGUGAGUCGAUUAAGCGGAUGUUUAGUCUCCUCCACACGAAAUUAAUUUCAGGUUUGGUCGAGACUUGUUUUGUUUGUGCUGCCUCCUAACCGGUUCGACAUAUGUUUCGAUUUCUCCGGCCCCUGGCAGUUUCGUCGGUCUUGUCAAUUAUCUUUUGAAAGAUUCGUCUUGCCAUCCCAAGGAAGCACAAGUUUCAAAUUUCUGAAGUCUACCUACAUCAAGCGAGGACAAGUAGAGUUGAAGCUACGGUUGGUUAUUGUCGGUGUUCCAACAUGUCUAAUCGUUUUCCGCUCUCGGGUUUGGACUAGUUUUUGAGUUUUGAAUAGUAGUGUUUGCAUAUCUCAUUUAAGAGCUUUUGUUUGUAUAAGAAGUUGUUUCUCGUGUAGUCGGGCUUUGUCUCUCGAGAUUCCGAGCUUAGUUUAGUCGGAAUCUGCGGGCUUUAUCUCUCGAAAUUUCAAGCUUAGUUUAGUUGGAGUUUGCGAGCUUUGUCUCUCGAAAUUCCGAGCUUAGUUUAGUCAGAAUUUGCGAGCUUUGAUUCCGGUGUGUCCGGCUUAUGUAUCCUUCCCUUGUUUUUAAUAAUACCAGACGACAAAAAAAAAAAA